ACGCUGUAAACGAUGUCUACUAGCCGUUGGAGGACUUGAUCCUUUAGUGGCGCAGCUAACGCGAUAAGUAGACCGCCUGGGGAGUACGGUCGCAAGAUUAAAACUCAAAUGAAUUGACGGGGGCCCGCACAAGCGGUGGAGCAUGUGGUUUAAUUCGAAGCAACGCGAAGAACCUUACCUACUCUUGACAUCCAGUGAACUUUUGAGAGAUCAAUUGGUGCCUUCGGGAACACUGAGACAGGUGCUGCAUGGCUGUCGUCAGCUCGUGUUGUGAAAUGUUGGGUUAAGUCCCGUAACGAGCGCAACCCUUGUCCUUAGUUACCAUCAUUAAGUUGGGGACUCUAAGGAGACUGCCGGUGACAAACCGGAGGAAGGCGGGGACGACGUCAAGUCAUCAUGGCCCUUACGAGUAGGGCUACACACGUGCUACAAUGGCAUGUACAAAGGGUUGCCAAGCCGCGAGGUGGAGCUAAUCCCAUAAAGCAUGUCGUAGUCCGGAUUGGAGUCUGCAACUCGACUCCAUGAAGUCGGAAUCGCUAGUAAUCGUGAAUCAGAAUGUCACGGUGAAUACGUUCCCGGGCCUUGUACACACCGCCCGUCACACCAUGGGAGUGGGUUGCUCCAGAAGUAGAUAGCUUAACCUUCGGGAGGGCGUUUACCACGGAGUGAUUCAUGACUGGGGUGAAGUCGUAACAAGGUAGCC
rnacentral:rRNA from 1 species